GGGAAAAGAAGUUGCGGGGACAGAGUCCAGCCCUGGGAUGAGAUGGAAAGUGAGCGAAAGCAGUGACAGCGUGAAUCCUGUUGAUGCCAGGCAAGACCUGCCCAGCUGGGAGGAGAGUAGCUGGCUCUGUCAGUGAGAGAAAAAUGUUAUGAAGUUGUGAAA